GGAGGGCCCUCUUUUAUAGUGAAUUUUGUUGGCGCAUGUAUGAUUGUUUAGUUUUUACWUUUYUGGKAAUGCUUUGUGUUUUAUACAUUUAAAACAGAUAUAUAUUUGGCUUAUGGAUUUAUUUUUCAUGUGUUACUAUUGUUAAUUUUCUUUGGAUUAAUUUUUAAUUUUUUUGUUGAAAUUGGAAAAGAAAGUAAUUUUUUCUUAAUGUAAUAAUGAAUUUAAUAAAUAAAGUGGYACAAACCAUCCGUCAAUGGCC
rnacentral:rRNA from 1 species